rnacentral:lncRNA from 1 species
CCAGACUUGAAAUAACAGUUUGUACUCAGUAUCAGUGAGCUUUUCAAACAGUGUGUUUGCAAACAAUUUGUUUGCUGCUGGAAUUCCUGUUCAUCUCAUUGAUAGGUCAGAACAGAGCUUUACUAGGCACAAAGCUUGAAGCCUAAAAUAGAUCAGUUGAAUUCUAUUUCUACUGCACAGACAGAGCUCGCUCUAUUGCAGCAUUCCUUUUUUGGCAGAAGGGAAAGCUUAUCUCUAGCAACCUCACCUGCUGCCCUGAGAUGCACAGUUCCUUCCUGUUCCUUCACAGUGAGUUGUUCAACCAUACCAAAAGAAGCAGUGGAUAUCAUGAGCCUUUACAGUCUUUCUAAUUGGGGAGCACUGGAUAAAGAAGACUUCUUCAGUCCAAAAGGAUAAUGUGACACUCAAUCCCCACUCUCACUGAGGCAUACCUCUGUUUGGCAAAAGUUCAUUUGCAAGUUAGUCCCACAGCGUCAGCAAGAGGAAACAACAGCACAGUGCCAAGUGGUAGUCCUGCUCACUUCCAUUCAGUCUCAGUCUACAUGAGAAGCUCCGAUCUCAGAACAGCCCUCCAGCAUCAUUGCUUUUCCGAUCUCCUGAACACCUCCAGGGACAAUGACUCUACCACCUCCCUGGGCAGCCCACUCCAGUGCCUGACCACUCUCCUGAGUCCAGCCUGAAUCUCCCCUGGCACAACUUGACGCCAUUCCUCCAGUCUUAUUGUUAUUUAUAUGGGAGAAGAGAUUGACUCUCACCUUACCACAACCUCCUUUCAGGUAGUUGUAGAGAGCAAUAAGGUUUCCCCUGAUCUUCCUCUUCUCCAGACUAAACAAACCCAGUUCCCUCAGCCAUCCCCAUAAGACCUGUGCUCCAGAUCCCUUCACCAGCUUUGUUGCCCUUCUCUGAACACACUCCAGAGCCUCAAUGUCUUUCUUGUAGUGAGGGGUCCAAAACUGAACUCAAUACUCAAGGUGCAGCCUCACCAGAGCUGACUAGAAGGAUGAUCACCUCCCUGCUCGUACUGUGUACACUAUUUCUGAUACAAGCCAGGAUGCCAUUGGCCUUCUUGGCCAUCUUGGCACACUGUCGGCUCAUGUUCAGCCAGCUAUUGACUUGCACCCUCAGAUCAUUUUUGCCGUGCAGCUUUCCAACCACUCUGCCCCAGGUCUGUUGCAUUGAAUGGGGUUGUUAUGACCAAAGUUCAGGACACAGCACUUGGUCUUGUUGAACAUCAUAAAAUUGGCCUUAUCCUAUUUCUCCAGAAAUAGGGUAAAGAAGACUCACACACAAAAAAGAGAUUUUCUCUGGUUCUCCUUGAUGGUCCCCCUGUCUUUGCUGUCCUGGGAACUGUCCAUCUUGUGAGCUGUCUUUAUGUUAGUGCAUUUCAUAAACAAUUAAAAUCUGAACAUUAAAAACUGUACAAACACCAUUUUUAGUAUUUAUUUCUUUCCCAUCAAUGAUAAUGACCACUAAGCCUUGAAAGACUUGCAAGGCUUUCAUCAGACUUGCAGAAGUAUUGAUCCGUUCUCUAAAUCAAAGGCUCUCUUCAUCUUUUCCUAUACUUUUCAGAGCAUUCUUUUUCCUGAUGGUAACUUGUCAUACGUUUGAUUUUAAAGACCCAUAACCCAUGCAAGCAUUCGGGUAUGUUUUGCACACUCCAAAUACAUUCUGAAAAAAACUUGGCUGCAGCAUCUCCUUCUCAAUCUCUUGCCUUCAUACAUUUUUUAUUAGUGUUGUAAUCUAAAUAUAAAAUGAGUAUACCAUUCACCUAGGCUAAUCAGAUCUGACUACAUAUAAAUGAUAUUUGGGAUUCUGCCCUGCAUGAGGACAUUGACUGCCUCCCUGAGGACAUAAUUUUACUGUUGAGGUUUAUGAUUAGGAAGGCUAAUCAGCCUUGUGAUGCACUCUUCAGUAUUUCAUUAUUGCGAGAUUAAUUUUUUUUUUCUAACUGUUGAAAGAAACUGGAAAUACA